GACGUAGGGCGCGAGCGUUGUCCGGAUUUAUUGGGCGUAAAGAGCUCGUAGGCGGCUUGUCGCGUCGUUCGUGAAAACCCGGGGCUCAACCCCGGGCUUGCGGGGGAUACGGGCAGGCUAGAGUUCGGUAGGGGAGACUGGAAUUCCUGGUGUAGCGGUGAAAUGCGCAGAUAUCAGGAGGAACACCGGUGGCGAAGGCGGGUCUCUGGGCCGAUACUGACGCUGAGGAGCGAAAGCGUGGGGAGCGAACAGG
rnacentral:rRNA from 1 species